rnacentral:sRNA from 1 species
UGUCAUACUGGGUCUUUAUUUUGUAAUUCAGCUUUAAGACAGGUUGUGGUUUUUAGCUUGUGGAUUUUUAAAUUUCAGAACCAGGAAGACAGCGCUUCCAGCAACCCUUUUGCGCUCCCCACCUCUGUCACACCCCCCUUACCGACAUUUGCGCGGGUGACCACAGCCUAUGGGUCGUACCAGGACGCCAACAUUCCCUUUCCUAGGACUUCUGGGGCCAGGUUCUGCGGAGCAGGUUACCUGGUGUAUUUCACAAGGCCCAUGACGAUGCAUCGGGCGGUGUCUCCCACAGAGCCUACUCCGAGAUCUCUCUCAGCCUUGUCCGCUUAUCACACUGGCUUGAUCGCGCCCAUGAAGAUCCGCACAGAGGCCCCUGGGAACCUUCGUUUAUACAGUGGGAGCCCCACUCGCAGCGAGAAAGAGCAGGUCUCCAUCAGCUCCUUCUACUACAAGGAGCGGAAAUCAAGGCGAUGGAAAAGUAAGCGUGAGGGAUCAGACUCUGGCAAUCGACAGAUCAAGGCUGCUGGGAAAGUCAUCAUCCAGGAUGUUGCUUGCCUCCUGCCUG